rnacentral:misc_RNA from 1 species
AGAUAAAGUAGCAGAAAAUAAAUUGAAAAAAGUAAAGGGAAAAAAAAGGGAGAAGUUGUGAUGCUGCUGUGCUACGGCACUAUGGCUCUUUCAAGCACGACUACUCUAACCUUUGAAAAGAAUAAUAGGUCGACAUGAUGCUUUGGGGGAAAAUGAUCGAGGCUCCACAGCUUGCGAUGCUUGCUGCGGCGCUAAAUGGAGAUCAGAGAAGAAAUUAGAACAGAGAAAAGGAUAGGCAAGUAGGUGGGUUAAGAAGAAAAUAGGAUUUGUAAGAAAUAAGAGAUAGGGAUGGUGGAGAAGUCAACGGCUGUGUG